rnacentral:rRNA from 1 species
UACAGAGGGUGCGAGCGUUAAUCGGAAUUAUUGGGCGUAAAGGGUGCGUAGGUGGUGAGGUAAGUCGGAUGUGAAAUCUCCGAGCUCAACUCGGAAAUGGCAUUGGAAACUACCUUGCUCGAGGGUUGGAGGGGGGACUGGAAUGCUUGGUGUAGCAGUGAAAUGCGUAGAUAUCAAGCGGAACACCAGUGGCGAAGGCGAGUCCCUGGACAACUCCUGACACUGAGGCACGAAAGCUAGGGGAGCAAACAGG